ACCGCCACCACGCCCGGCUAAUUUUUGCAUUUUUUAGUAGAGAUUGGGUUUCACCAUGUGGGCCAGGCUGGUCUCGAACUCCUGAACUCAAGUGAUCUGCCCGCCUUGGCCACCCAAAAUGCUGGGAUUGCAGGCGUGAGCCACUGCGCCCGGCCUGAAUCCAUUUUAACACUGAGUUUUUCAGAUUAACUCGAAGUACCCCACAACUACACGCUAAUGAAACUAGAGGAGGCACAGCCUCAGCUCCGUGCAGGAUGGAUGCACAAGAGCAGAAUCUCCAUGGGACGCCUUUCUGGAGCAUCAGUAUUACUGCAGGAUUUGGAAGCAACAAGUUCAAAUAAUUUUCAACGUUAACACACUGGAAAUUUAAGAGAAGUCUGGAAACUCAUCUACCUUUAAAAACUGUCAGUCAUCUGUGCCUAAGUCAGACUUUCUCCAAGAAAAAAAAAAAAAGAAACUCUAAGGAGACCCUAUUUUUUAUUCUUCUAAGUAGUUAAAAUUAGAAAUCACAGCAAGUCAACAGGAAGCUCUCCUCUGCCAGUCUCCUAAAUCACAAUAUGGCCUUGUCGUGGCUGGAGUAUUUCAAAGGCUCAGUCCCACUCCAGAAUCGGCCCUGUCGCCUCCGCCCGCACUCCAGAGCCGGCUGAGAACCGCAGCGGCGCGGGAUCCACGUGCAGCGUCUCUCCAGGUCAAAGCUACCUAGAUGUCAUCAUACAAAUUACAGGCUAUGACGUCCACCUCAUUCUCUUUCUGGAAGGCUGACCUUAACUGUCCUGCACAUUCCUUACACAGCAUAUUUGCCCUUUUCCUAUACUAAUAAGCCCUAAAUCUUGGGGGUAACAGCCUGGGGAACUACCUGUCUUGCUACCACUCAAGACCAUACUUCUGUCCACAAAUUCCCCCCAAUAAAUUAUCUUUUACUGACAAA
rnacentral:lncRNA from 1 species